rnacentral:rRNA from 1 species
GAUGAACGCUGGCGGCGUGCCUAAUACAUGCAAGUCGAGCGAACAGACGAGGAGCUUGCUCCUCUGACGUUAGCGGCGGACGGGUGAGUAACACGUGGAUAACCUACCUAUAAGACUGGGAUAACUUCGGGAAACCGGAGCUAAUACCGGAUAAUAUAUUGAACCGCAUGGUUCAAUAGUGAAAGACGGUUUUGCUGUCACUUAUAGAUGGAUCCGCGCCGCAUUAGCUAGUUGGUAAGGUAACGGCUUACCAAGGCAACGAUGCGUAGCCGACCUAAGAGGGUGACCGGCCAGACGGAACCUGAGACACGGUCGAGCCUCCAACGGGAGGCAGCAGUAGGGAACCUUACGUAAGGGGCGAAGGCCUGACGGAGCAACGCCGCGUGAGUGAUGAAGUUCUUGGAAUCGUAAAACUCUGUUAUUAGGGAAGAACAAAUGUGUAAGUAACUAUGCACGUCUGGACGGUACCAAAUGAAAAAGCCACGACUAACUACG